UAGUCUUAUGUUUGUCACUACACUGAUUUCACAAAUGGUUACCUUAUCACGAGUCGUAAAUAGUCCCAUGUAAUAAGACCAGCUAAAACCUUAUCUAAACACAUUCUUAGAGUUUCCUACUAGCAUAUUAUCUAAAUGUAGCCAUACACCGAUGAGGCGUAACAUUAUGACCACUGAGAGGUGAAGUGAAUGGCACCUGUUAGUGGGUGGGAUAUAUUAGGCAGCAUGUGAACAUUUUGUCUUUGAAGGUGAUGUGUUAAAAGCAGGAAAAAUGGGCAAGCGUAAGGAUUUGAGCGAGUUUGAUUUACCUUUUACUGUAAUCUGUUUACUACGAGGUAUUCUUUGUAUUUAUCUGCAUUCGGAUUGUUUGUAUCAUCAGUUAUUAUCAUGCUAGUCACCACUGGAGAGAUUACUCAGGUAUCAGGAUGAUGUUGGCCCAAGGUUUAUUUUGGCUUGCUAUGUACGUGUGCCAAAGUAUGGCCAGCAUUGACAGUGGACUUUCUUGCCAACCAGUGUUAAAAAUGAUCCAUCACUUCCCCACCUAUCUUAUGCUGUACUUUUGGAGUGUUUGGAAAAUUCUACAAAUGAGUUAGGUUCUCACUGAAGCACCAGGAUAUGUUGGCACAAGAGUACAACUGUAAACACCACUGAUGCUCUGGGGUGACGCAAAGAGAGUGACACUUUUUACCUUUCACCUCUUGGAUAUCUCCUGUAUGUAUUACAGCCCUGAUCAGUUCAAUUUAAGUUUACAUGUAAUUAUUGAGUAUUUUUAACGACAGAUAUUAUCUGAAAGCAGCUUUGCAGAAAUCCGGAAAAAAAUUCUGUGAUAAUAUUAGGAGGAAAAUCUGCAAGGAACCAAACUGCUGUUGGAAAACUAUGUGGUCAUAUAAUCUCCAACCCAUAAUAUUCUGUCAGUCUAAACCCACAUUGUAAAAGAGGACUUCCUGUUUUAUGAUUUCUCUAUCCACUGUGGCUAAAUUGUGUUUUGUUCUGUGAUGUUUGCUGUGUGAAUGACCUGUUAGGUUAACAGCUAUCACUGACAUGAUCUAUCAGUAACCCUACUGAUAACCAUGCUAUCAGUUAUAACCAUGUUAUCAGUAAUAGCAUGCAAUGUUUAUACACACAUCGGGUAAAACACACUCUUGUGCUACACCUACACUUCUACUCAUACUUCCUUUAGUCAUUAAUUACAGGAAAGCUACGUGUAGCAUUUUUACAGGCUUUCAGUGGGAAUUACUAAUCCGAGGAUUGCGUAGUGUCUUGAUUGCUAAGUACUUCACAUAUUUACACAUUCAGCACAUUUCACAUGCAUUCACACCAUUAUCGAAAGUACACAUGGCCUACUGGAAUAUAAUGUGAUAUUUACAAGCACACUUGUAUUGAAACUCCUCAUGGUAGGCUUUAUUUGUCAGCAGGUGCUUUUGUGCCAUGGUUGGGGCUGUUUUCGUAGUUGUUAUGGAAUGUUUUUUUACUGUUCAAGGCCAGAGUCAUGGGGAAGGGGUCAGCACAGUAUAGCUGACUAACACACCUACAGCCUGACCAAUAGCGUGACUUUAGCAGCUAUGAUGUUGCAGG